GUAGGGGGCUAGCGUUAUCCGGAUUUACUGGGCGUAAAGGGUGCGUAGGCGGUCUUUCAAGUCGGUGGUUAAAGGCUACGGCUCAACCGUAGUUAGCCUCCGAAACUGGAAGACUUGAGUGCAGGAGAGGAAAGUGGAAUUCCCAGUGUAGCGGUGAAAUGCGUAGAUAUUGGGAGGAACACCAGUAGCGAAGGCGGCUUUCUGGACUGCAACUGACACUGAGGCACGAAAGCGUGGGUAGCAAACAGGAUUAGAUACCCUGGUAGUCCACGCUGUAAACGAUGAGUACUAGGUGUCGGGGGUUACCCCCCUCGGUGCCGCAGCUAACGCAUUAAGUACUCCGCCUGGGGAGU
rnacentral:rRNA from 1 species